rnacentral:SRP_RNA from 1 species
GUGUUCUGACUGUGAAACCUCGUCCCAUGAGGUCGAUGGCCAGGUAUCAAUAUUCCGGAGGGAAUGGCGACCUGUUGCUGCGGGGACCGGUUCAGGCCCGGAAGGGAGCAGACUUACCGUAGACAUUCGGCGCCCAUGGGGUAACGGGGCGGAGGAUGAAUGC